UAUUUUAAAGAGAGUUUGAUCCUGGCUCAGGACGAACGCUGGCGGCGUGCCUAAUACAUGCAAGUCGAACGAACGGAGGAAGAGCUUGCUCUUCCAAAGUUAGUGGCGGACGGGUGAGUAACACGUGGGCAACCUGCCUGUAAGUUGGGGAUAACUCCGGGAAACCGGGGCUAAUACCGAAUGAUAAAGUGUGGCGCAUGCCACGCUUUUGAAAGAUGGUUUCGGCUAUCGCUUACAGAUGGGCCCGCGGUGCAUUAGCUAGUUGGUAGGGUAAUGGCCUACCAAGGCAACGAUGCAUAGCCGACCUGAGAGGGUGAUCGGCCACACUGGGACUGAGACACGGCCCAGACUCCUACGGGAGGCAGCAGUAGGGAAUCUUCCGCAAUGGACGAAAGUCUGACGGAGCAACGCCGCGUGUAUGAAGAAGGUUUUCGGAUCGUAAAGUACUGUUGUUAGAGAAGAACAAGGAUAAGAGUAACUGCUUGUCCCUUGACGGUAUCUAACCAGAAAGCCACGGCUAACUACGUGCCAGCAGCCGCGGUAAUACGUAGGUGGCAAGCGUUGUCCGGAUUUAUUGGGCGUAAAGCGCGCGCAGGCGGUCUUUUAAGUCUGAUGUGAAAGCCCCCGGCUUAACCGGGGAGGGUCAUUGGAAACUGGAAGACUGGAGUGCAGAAGAGGAGAGUGGAAUUCCACGUGU
rnacentral:rRNA from 1 species